rnacentral:rRNA from 1 species
GACGUAGGGCGCGAGCGUUGUCCGGAUUUAUUGGGCGUAAAGAGCUCGUAGGCGGCUUGUCGCGUCGACUGUGAAAUCCCGCGGCUCAACUGCGGGUCUGCAGUCGAUACGGGCAGGCUAGAGUUCGGUAGGGGAGGCUGGAAUUCCUGGUGUAGCGGUGAAAUGCGCAGAUAUCAGGAGGAACACCGAUGGCGAAGGCAGGUCUCUGGGCCGAUACUGACGCUGAGGAGCGAAAGCGUGGGGAGCGAACAGG